rnacentral:rRNA from 1 species
GCAGGCUUACACAUGCAAGUCGAGGGGUAACAGAGAAAAGCUCGCUUCUUUGCUGACGACCGGCGCACGGGUGCGUAACGCGUAUGCAAUCUACCUUUUGCUAGGGAUAGCCCAGAGAAAUUUGGAUUAAUACCUUAUAGUAUGAUGACUUGGCAUCAAGAUAUCAUUAAAGGUUACGGCAAAAGAUGAGCAUGCGUUCUAUUAGCUAGUUGGUAUGGUAACGGCAUACCAAGGCAACGAUAGAUAGGGGUCCUGAGAGGGAGAUCCCCCACACUGGUACUGAGACACGGACCAGACUCCUACGGGAGGCAGCAGUGAGGAAUAUUGGACAAUGGAGGCAACUCUGAUCCAGCCAUGCCGCGUGCAGGAAGACUGCCCUAUGGGUUGUAAACUGCUUUUAUACAGGAAGAAACACCUCUACGUGUAGAGAUUUGACGGUACUGUAAGAAUAAGGAUCGGCUAACUCCGUGCCAGCAGCCGCGGUAAUACGGAGGAUCCAAGCGUUAUCCGGAAUCAUUGGGUAUAAAGGGUCCGUAGGUGGAUAAUUAAGUCAGAGGUGAAAUCCUGCAGCUUAACUGUAGAAUUGCCUUUGAUACUGG